rnacentral:rRNA from 1 species
AGAGUUUGAUUCUGGCUCAGGAUGAACGCUAGCUACAGGCUUAACACAUGCAAGUCGAGGGGCAGCAUUAUCGAAGCUUGCUUGAUAGAUGGCGACCGGCGCACGGGUGAGUAACGCGUAUCCAACCUUCCCUAUAGUAGAGAAUAGCCCGGCGAAAGUCGGAUUAAUGCUCUAUGUUGUAUUUAGAGGACAUCUGAAGAAUACCAAAGGUUUACCGCUAUAGGAUGGGGAUGCGUCUGAUUAGGUAGUAGGCGGGGUAACGGCCCACCUAGCCGACGAUCAGUAGGGGUUCUGAGAGGAAGGUCCCCCACAUUGGAACUGAGACACGGUCCAAACUCCUACGGGAGGCAGCAGUGAGGAAUAUUGGUCAAUGGACGAAAGUCUGAACCAGCCAAGUAGCCGUGCAGGAUGACGGCCCUAUGGGUUGUAAACUGCUUUUAUAUAGGGAUAAAGUCGGGGACGUGUCCCCGUUUGUAGGUACUAUAUGAAUAAGGACCGGCUAAUUCCGUGCCAGCAGCCGC